rnacentral:snoRNA from 1 species
CCAACGUGGGUACACUCGGGCGGUCUCUCUCCCGGGCCCUGUCCAGGCGGUGUGGGGGAGCGCAGGGCUCUGUCCCAUCGUGUACAUCCCCUUUCCACGACGUGGAAGCGCACUGGGCCUGGAGUCUGCACCUGCAGCUGCUCAGAGCCCUGUGGGCGUGACCAAGGGGACCAGCCCCGCAGAAAACAGCC